UACAGAGGUCUCAAGCGUUGUUCGGAUUCAUUGGGCGUAAAGGGUGCGUAGGCGGCGCGGUAAGUCGGGUGUGAAAUCUCGGAGCUUAACUCCGAAACUGCAUUCGAUACUGCCGUGCUUGAGGACCGGAGAGGAUAGUGGAAUUCCCAGUGUAGUGGUGAAAUACGUAGAGAUUGGGAAGAACACCAGUGGCGAAGGCGGCUAUCUGGACGGUUACUGACGCUAAGACUCGAAAGCGUGGGGAGCAAACAGG
rnacentral:rRNA from 1 species